rnacentral:sRNA from 1 species
UUUAAACCUAGGGCUGUGUAUUGAAACUAGAUUAUAACCCGCGGUAUACCGCGGAGACAAUUUUUUUAAAAAAUUAGUAUAUAUAAAGUCUGCAAAUUAUAUUUAUCUAUAAAAUAUUUACAUUUUAUAGUUUACAAUUGUUAUUAAGUAACAUCCUUCCAAACCCGUUCCGCCAAACCCGUCCCGUUAAAAAACUCCGCGGUACACCGCUAAUUUAAAUAAAUAUUUUAUGGGAUUGCAAUUAUAUUUUAGUUUGUCAAAUAAA